UACGUAGGGAGCAAGCGUUGUCCGGAAUUAUUGGGCGUAAAGAGCGCGUAGGCGGUCCGAUAAGUCGGCUGUGAAAGUCCAGGGCUCAACCCUGGAAAGCCGGCCGAUACUGUCGGACUAGAGUCCGGAAGAGGCAAGUGGAAUUCCCGGUGUAGCGGUGAAAUGCGCAGAUAUCGGGAGGAACACCAAUUGCGAAGGCAGCUUGCUGGGACGGUACUGACGCUGAGGAACGAAAGCCAGGGGAGCGAACGGG
rnacentral:rRNA from 1 species